AGAGUUUGAUCCUGGCUCAGGAUGAACGCUAGCUACAGGCUUAACACAUGCAAGUCGAGGGGCAGCAUGUUGGUUGCUUGCAACCAAUGAUGGCGACCGGCGCACGGGUGAGUAACGCGUAUCCAACCUACCCUUGUCCAUCGGAUAACCCGUCGAAAGGCGGCCUAACACGAUAUGCGGUUCUCAGCAGGCAUCUAACGAGAACGAAAUGUGAAGGAGAAGGAUGGGGAUGCGUCUGAUUAGCUUGUUGGCGGGGUAACGGCCCACCAAGGCGACGACCAGUAGGGGUUCUGGAGAGGAAGGUCCCCCACAUUGGAACUGAGACACGGUCCAAACUCCUACGGAGCA
rnacentral:rRNA from 1 species